UACACACGGAUAACAUACCGAAAGGUAUGCUAAUACGGGAUAAUAUAUUUGAGAGGCAUCUCUUAAAUAUCAAAGGUGAGCCAGUACAGGAUGGACCCGCGUCUGAUUAGCUAGUUGGUAAGGUAACGGCUUACCAAGGCGACGAUCAGUAGCCGACCUGAGAGGGUGAUCGGCCACAUUGGAACUGAGACACGGUCCAAACUCCUACGGGAGGCAGCAGUGGGGAAUAUUGCACAAUGGGCGAAAGCCUGAUGCAGCAACGCCGCGUGAGUGAUGAAGGCCUUCGGGUCGUAAAACUCUGUCCUCAAGGAAGAUAAUGACGGUACUUGAGGAGGAAGCCCCGGCUAACUACGUGCCAGCAGCCGCGGUAAUACGUAGGGGGCUAGCGUUAUCCGGAUUUACUGGGCGUAAAGGGUGCGUAGGCGGUCUUUCAAGUCAGGAGUGAAAGGCUACGGCUCAACCGUAGUAAGCUCUUGAAACUGGGAGACUUGAGUGCAGGAGAGGAGAGUGGAAUUCCUAGUGUAGCGGUGAAAUGCGUAGAUAUUAGGAGGAACACCAGUUGCGAAGGCGGCUCUCUGGACUGUAACUGACGCUGAGGCACGAAAGCGUGGGGAGCAAACAGGAUUAGAUACCCUGGUAGUCCACGCUGUAAACGAUAAGUACUAGGUGUCGGGGGUUACCCCCUUCGGUGCCGCAGC
rnacentral:rRNA from 1 species